UACGUAGGGUGCGAGCGUUGUCCGGAAUUAUUGGGCGUAAAGGGCUCGUAGGCGGUUUGUCGCGUCGGGAGUGAAAUCCACUGGCUUAACUGGUGGCUUGCUUUCGAUACGGGCAGACUGGAGGUAUGCAGGGGAGAACGGAAUUCCUGGUGUAGCGGUGAAAUGCGCAGAUAUCAGGAGGAACACCGGUGGCGAAGGCGGUUCUCUGGGCCUUACCUGACGCUGAGGAGCGAAAGCGUGGGGAGCGAACAGG
rnacentral:rRNA from 1 species